CGGGUGGAGCAUGUGGUUUAUUCGAUGCAACGCGAAGAACCUUACCUACUCUUGACAUCCAGAGAACUUUCCAGAGAUGGAUUGGUGCCUUCGGGAACUCUGAGACAGGUGCUGCAUGGCUGUCGUCAGCUCGUGUUGUGAAAUGUUGGGUUAAGUCCCGCAACGAGCGCAACCCUUAUCCUUUGUUGCCAGCGAUUCGGUCGGGAACUCAAAGGAGACUGCCGGUGAUAAACCGGAGGAAGGUGGGGAUGACGUCAAGUCAUCAUGGCCCUUACGAGUAGGGCUACACACGUGCUACAAUGGCGUAUACAAAG
rnacentral:rRNA from 1 species